rnacentral:rRNA from 1 species
UACGGAGGGUGCAAGCGUUGUCCGGAUUCAUUGGGUUUAAAGGGUGCGUAGGCGGGAAAUUAAGUCCGAGGUGAAAGACGGUUGCUCAACAAUCGCAGUGCCUUGGAUACUGGUUUUCUUGGGUGAAGUUGAGGUGGGCGGAAUUCAAGGUGUAGCGGUGAAAUGCGCAGAUAUCAGGAGGAACACCGGUGGCGAAGGCGGAUCUCUGGGCCUUACCUGACGCUCAGGUGCGAAAGCGUGGGGAGCAAACAGG